rnacentral:rRNA from 1 species
CGUAGGAGGCGAGCGUUAUCCGGAUUCACUGGGCGUAAAGCGCGUGCAGGCGGUUUGGUAAGUUGGGCGUGAAAGCUCCCGGCUCAACUGGGAGAGGUCGUUCAAUACUACCAAACUAGAGAGUAGAAGAGGAAGAUGGAAUUCCCGGUGUAGUGGUGAAAUGCGUAGAUAUCGGGAGGAACACCAGUGGCGAAGGCGAUCUUCUGGUCUAUUUCUGACGCUCAGACGCGACAGCUAGGGUAGUAAACGGGAUUAGAGACCCCGGUAAUCCUAGCCGUAAACGAUGUGAACUUGGCGUCGGUGGCUUAAACACUAUCGGUGCCGAAGCAAACGCGAUAAGUUCACCGCCUGGGGACUACGGCCGCAAGGUUA